CCUCUCUUAGCUGAUCUCCCCGAUUUCCUUCUCCCCUCUCUUCUUCCCGAUCACUCUCUGUUCCUCGCAAACAACUCGACGCCGACGGGGCUUGCAAUCGUCUUCACCGCCUGAGGAGGAGGUCGCCGGAACCUUACUAGAGGUCGAACAAGGAGGCGGAUCCUCCUGAUCUCCUGUUCUCAGGUCUUCCCCGAGCCUUUCCUUCCCCGAUCCUUCCUCUCAGUUUUGUCGAUCCUUUCUUCCCCGAUUCGAUCGCUGGCUUGAAGAUGCCCUAGGGUUUCGAAGGUCACGGAUUUGGAGAGGUUGGAAUCAGGGAGGUGUUGUUGGAUUAGGGGAAGGAAUCAGAUCAGACUCGUGCUAGGUUUUCCCUUGAUCGGAUCAGUGGACCUCCACCUCCUUGCUGUAGAUUGAGGUCUCGAAUUGAAGGUUAGGUACUGUGGGGUUUUGGUUGGUGGUCAGUAAUUGCAUCCGGGCAGAAAGGUAGAUUCUAGCAGCUCAUUCGACAGGACCUCUUUCCGGCAGCCCUCUUGUUGACUGAGCUUGAGGUAUUGUGUAUUGAUUGAU